AACGAACGCUGGCGGCAUGCCUAACACAUGCAAGUCGAACGAGACCUUCGGGUCUCGUGGCGCACGGGUGCGUAACGCGUGGGAACCUGCCCUUAGGUUCGGAAUAACUCCCCGAAAGGGGUGCUAAUACCGGAUAAUGUCUUCGGACCAAAGAUUUAUCGCCUUUGGAUGGGCCCGCGUUGGAUUAGCUAGUUGGUAGGGUAAAAGCCUACCAAGGCGACGAUCCAUAGCUGGUCUGAGAGGAUGAUCAGCCACACUGGGACUGAGACACGGCCCAGACUCCUACGGGAGGCAGCAGUGGGGAAUAUUGGACAAUGGGCGAAAGCCUGAUCUAGCAAUGCCGCGUGAGUGAUGAAGGCCUUAGGGUUGUAAAGCUCUUUUACCCGGGAUGAUAAUGACAGUACCGGGAGAAUAAGCGCCGGCUAACUCCGUG
rnacentral:rRNA from 1 species